AGUCGAACGGCAGCGCGGGAGCAAUCCUGGCGGCGAGUGGCGAACGGGUGAGUAAUAUAUCGGAACGUGCCCAGUAGUGGGGGAUAGCCCGGCGAAAGCCGGAUUAAUACCGCAUACGACCUGAGGGUGAAAGCGGGGGAUCGCAAGACCUCGCGCUACUGGAGCGGCCGAUAUCAGAUUAGCUAGUUGGUGGGGUAAAGGCCUACCAAGGCAACGAUCUGUAGUUGGUCUGAGAGGACGACCAGCCACACUGGGACUGAGACACGGCCCAGACUCCUACGGGAGGCAGCAGUGGGGAAUUUUGGACAAUGGGCGCAAGCCUGAUCCAGCAAUGCCGCGUGCAGGAAGAAGGCCUUCGGGUUGUAAACUGCUUUUGUCAGGGAAGAAAUCUUCUGGGCUAAUACCCCGGGAGGAUGACGGUACCUGAAGAAUAAGCACCGGCUAACUACGUGCCAGCAGCCGCGGUAAUACGUAGGGUGCGAGCGUUAAUCGGAAUUACUGGGCGUAAAGCGUGCGCAGGCGGCUUUGCAAGACAGAGGUGAAAUCCCCGGGCUCAACCUGGGAACUGCCUUUGUGACUGCAAGGCUAGAGUACGGCAGAGGGGGAUGGAAUUCCGCGUGUAGCAGUGAAAUGCGUAGAUAUGCGGAGGAACACCGAUGGCGAAGGCAAUCCCCUGGGCCUGUACUGACGCUCAUGCACGAAAGCGUGGGGAGCAAACAGGAUUAG
rnacentral:rRNA from 1 species